CGAAAGCCUGACGGAGCAAGACCGCGUGGGGGAAGAAGGCUCUUGGGUUGUAAACCCCUUUUCUCUGGGAAGAAAGUUGUGAAAGCAACCUGACGGUACCAGAGGAAUCAGCAUCGGCUAACUCCGUGCCAGCAGCCGCGGUAAGACGGAGGAUGCAAGCGUUAUCCGGAAUGAUUGGGCGUAAAGCGUCCGCAGGUGGCAGUUCAAGUCUGCUGUCAAAGACCGGGGCUUAACUUCGGAAAGGCAGUGGAAACUGAACAGCUAGAGUAUGGUAGGGGCAGAGGGAAUUCCUGGUGUAGCGGUGAAAUGCGUAGAGAUUAGGAAGAACAUCGGUGGCGAAGGCGCUCUGCUGGACCAUAACUGACACUCACAGGACGAAAGCUAGGGGAGCG
rnacentral:rRNA from 1 species